AGGGGAGGGGAGCGGGCGGCGCGAGGAGGAGUGCGGGCGGCGGCGGCGGCGGAGGGGCAUCCGCCUCCGCCUCCUACCCCGCGUGUGGUGUGAGGGAACCAGUUUGGAACUGGGGUCUCUGAACGAGGGGCGGAACAAGCUCGCUGAGGAGUGGGGCCAGGAAGACACGAGGGUUAGCCACGGAUGUACAGACAAGCCCCGCAACUAGUGGAAGGAGCAGUGCCAGUGGCACAAGAUUGUUUCAUCAGUGGAACUGGAAGAGCAGCAGGACCAUGUCCAGUCCAGCGGUGUGAGCAAUGUUGUUGGCCAGGAAGGAAAGUUAAGCCAUUUCCUGGCUGAAACUGCCUCCGCCGAGGGGCCACUGGACGAGGAGAUUCAUCGUUUCGGUCAAGACACAGAAAUCAUGCCCCGUCCGUCCGUCGAUGAGGCCGCUGAGGAAGCCAGUCCACUCAAGAGACUGAAAUGAUGCCAUUGCCCGUGGAAGUUGGGGAGAUUCAUCAGUCCAGUGAAGAGACUGAAGAAGUGGUGCUCGUUGAGGAAGCUGACAAGAUUCACAGGUCCAGUGAAGGGACAGAAAUGGUGCCCGUUGAGGAAGCCGGCAAGAUUCAUCAGUCCAGUGAAGAGAUGGAAGUGGCGCACAUCACCAAGACUGCAGCUCAACUCCACGCCAAAAUCCAGUGAGGCCAAUGAGGAGGAGGAAGCUGAGGAGGUUCAUCAUUCCGGUGAAGAGACUAAAAUGGUCUCCAUCGACGAGGCGGUGCUGCAGGCCACACCGAAAUCCUAUUCCUGUCUGUAGAUACAUGGUACUCUUCUAGGUUCCUGGAGGCACCGGUUAUAUGAUCUUAGUCUGCUAGUGCUUGGCUUAAUGGAUUUGGGGCGCAGCCAAAACCCAAUGAGAAAAAGGAACAUCUGGUUGUUGAUGAGGUGCAGCAUAGCAUGGAUGAGUCUGUUGCAGAGGAGGAGAAUGAAGUGCCAUUCUUUGGUGCUCUGUUUCAGAGCGCAACCAAGUCAAGUAAGAACAAGAAAGAUCUGUUGUUAAUGAGUCUGUUGCAGAGGAGGAGAAUGAAGUGCCAUUCUUUGGUGCUCUGUUUCAGAGCGCAACCAAGUCAAGUGAGAGCAAGAAAGAUCUGCUUGUUGAUGAGUCUGUUGCAGUGGAGGAGAAUGAAGUGUCAUUCUUUGGUGCUCUGUUUCAGAGCGCAGCCAAGGCCAAUGAGAACAAGGAAAAUCUGCAAGUUGAUGAGGUGCAGCAUAACCCAGAAGAGCCUGUUGAAGAGGAGGGAGUGAUGGUCACCGACAAGGUUUCACAGAGGAUGGAUGUGGACGUGGUCACCCUCGAGAACCUCUCGCAAGCCACAGUAGCCGAUGCAGUCAAGGAGAGUGCCUUCGCAGAUGUGUCCUUUGAAGAGGAGGUGGUGGUGGCCGCCGAUGACGGAGUGGUUUUACCGGUGACCUCACAGAUGUGUCCAUUGAAGAGGGCGAAGUGGUGGCCGCCGAGGUGUCACACAGCUCGGCCAUGGUGGAUUAGACUGUUGAGGAAGUGGUCACCGUCGAGAACCUGUCGCAGGCCACAGUGACAGAAGGCGAAGGGGUUGACAAGCAGAGUGAUUUCACCGGCGACCUCUCACAGGCCGUCGACGCUGUCAGAGACUGCAGUAAUCACAUCACUUCUCGCCGCUGUUUGCAGGCUUGUUUGAGGAACCAGCGGUGUUUCAGGAGAGUGCUGAGUUAAGUCGUCACCGUCAACAACCUGUCGCAAGCCACAGCAACAGAUGACUUCGCAGAUGUGUCCGUCUAAGAGGAGGAAGUGGUGGCCGCCGCUGACGAGAUGCCAAAGAGCCCAGAAACAUUGGAAGAGAAUGUUCAGGAAGCAGCCACCGUCGACAACAACCUGUCACAAGCCAAAGUAACAGAUGACGAAUGGGCAGUCAAGGAGAAUGCUUUCGCCUGCUCACCGGUUUUCGACGAUGCCGGAGACUGCCGUGGUCAGUGGUCAUGUUUUCCAAGCUUGUUUGAGGAUGCCACCAAGUCCCUAUCCACGGACUCCAUCACCGUGGAGGCAACAACGGUUCCUGAAGCUGCUGCUGCGAAGAAAGUUACUGAACCUGUGGCAGUGGAGCAAGAGAAUUGAAGCAAGGCUAACCAAUCUGAAGCACUGGGUAGCCUGAGCCUAUGGAACGGUGCCUGGUACAAGGAAGAAGAAGCCAUUGGAUACGUUUAGCCUAAGGAGGCUUAGACUGAAGCUCAAGGAGACACUGAAUGACCAGAAGAAUAGGGAACCAAAUAGGGUGCCCCUCGGCAGGCUGGACGAGAAUUCAGCGUCUAAAUCGCAGAAGAGAGAGCACAAUAGGGUGCCCCUUGGCAGGUUGUGAAACCAUUUUCGUGAAAUCUAAGAACUCUGCUAUACAUGUGACGAACCAGGCCCAGAACAGCCGAGGCCACAUUUCUCUCUUGGUCAGUGCUGCUGCUACAAAAGAGUUGCCGCUGCAGCUGUGCGUCUCACCGCAAGUUGACUCACUUGGUCCACGUUGCUGCGCUGCACCCAGUCUGCGAUGCUGUGGCUGAUAAAGCAGACGGUAGGGCUGGACAUGUUUGUCAGUUUGACAACUAUCUAGGUGGGUUUGAGCAGGAAUUUUCAGGAAAGGAUUUCAUCUUCAAUCACUCCGGUGCACACAACGCUUUAUUGCCAGUGUCAGACAAGCGUACACACGAGAUGAGAUGAACACACCCAAGCAGCAAACGGCAGCGUGAGCAUAUAGAUGUUUCUGCUUGUUGAACUGAAUGGCAGUUAGUUUGCGGCGAUCUGUUUAGUGUCCAACAUCAGUGGCAUUGACCUUUUCCCCAUAUCGAGCAGAAGAGAAAAAGAAUGGGAGAAGGAGCCAUCUUAUCUUUACCUUACCGAGUGGAAGAGAAGUAAGAUUGUGACAGCCAUUGUUCUUUAUAAAACAGAUAUGCGAAGUACGUAAUUCCAAAGAUUCAAACCUCUU